rnacentral:rRNA from 1 species
CCUACGGGUGGCAGCAGUGGGGGAUAUUGCACAAUGGGGGAAACCCUGAUGCAGCGACGCCGCGUGGGUGAAGAAGCGCUUCGGCGCGUAAAGCCCUGUCAGUAGGGAAGAAAAUGACGGUACCUGUAGAUGAAGCCCCGGCUAACUACGUGCCAGCAGCCGCGGUAAUACGUAGGGGGCAAGCGUUAUCCGGAUUUACUGGGUGUUAAGGGGGCGCAGACGGCGAUGCAAGCCAGGAGUGAAAGCUCGGGGCCCAACCCCGGGAUUGCUCGUGGAACUGCGUGGCUAGAGUGCAGGAGGGGCAGGCGGAAUUCCUGGUGUAGCGGUGAAAUGCGUAGAUAUCAGGAGGAACACCGGUGGCGAAGGCGGCCUGCUGGACUGCAACUGACGUUGAGGCCCGAAAGCGUGGGGAGCAAACAGGAUUAGAUACCCGGGUAGUC